GAUGAACGCUGGCGGCGUGCCUAAUACAUGCAAGUCGAGCGAACAGAUGAGGAGCUUGCUCCUCUGACGUUAGCGGCGGACGGGUGAGUAACACGUGGAUAACCUACCUAUAAGACUGGGAUAACUUCGGGAAACCGGAGCUAAUACCGGAUAAUAUAUUGAACCGCAUGGUUCAAUAGUGAAAGACGGUUUUGCUGUCACUUAUAGAUGGAUCCGCGCCGCAUUAGCUAGUUGGUAAGGUAACGGCUUACCAAGGCAACGAUGCGUAGCCGACCAGAGAGGGUGAACGGGCAAACUGGGACUGAGACAAGGUCCAGGAUCCUACGGGAGGCAGGCAUAGGGAAUCUUCCGCAAUGGGCGAAAGCCUGAAGGAGCAACGCCGGGGGAGGGAAGAAGGUCUUCGGGUCGUAAAACUCUGUUAUUAGGGAAGAACAAAUGUGUAAGUAACUAUGCACGGCUUGACGGUACCUAAUCAGAAAGGCACGGCUAACUACGUG
rnacentral:rRNA from 1 species